rnacentral:rRNA from 1 species
UAUCUCUGUAGAGUCUGCAUAUCAAUAAGCGGAGGAAAAGAAACUAACUAAGGAUUCCCUCAGUAACGGCGAGUGAAGCGGGAAGAGCUCAAAUUUGAAAUCUUCAAGGUUCUACCUUGACGAAUUGUAGUUUAAAGAAGUGUUUUCUGUUGAAGUUUCGGUAAAAGUUCUUUGGAAUAGGACAUCAUAGAGGGUGAGAAUCCCGUAUUUGACCGUUACUUUCCAGCUGUUGUGAUACACUUUCAAAGAGUCGGAUUGUUUGGGAAUGCAGUCCAAAAUGGGUGGUAAAUUUCAUCUAAAGCUAAAUAUUGGCGAGAGACCGAUAGCGAACAAGUACCGUGAGGGAAAGAUGAAAAGAACUUUGAAAAGAGAGUUAAACAGUACGUGAAAUUGUCAAAAGGGAAGCGUUUGACACCAGUGUUGUUUUCUCGAAAAUCAAUUAAAAAUGGCUUGAUUUUGUGUUGUAUUGACCUUAAAAGCUUUCUUCACUUUUUUCAUGUCUUUUUUAAUGCACUUUUCGUUUAACAAGUCAACAUCAGUUUCUUUUGUUGUAAAAAGGUCAUUGGAAGGUGGCUUUCCUUUCGGAGAAAGUGUUUAUAGCCUUUGACUUCUGCAAUCGGAGAGACUGAGGUCUGCAGCGUAGAUCCUUCUGGAUUAGGAUUCAUUUGUGCUAAGUUACAACCGUUUAUAGACAACUUGUUGACUAUAUUCGAUCCUGUAGCUUACUCGCUUAUGUAAUUUUACCUACGCUUAGGAUGUUGAUAUGCAUGACUGAUA